UCCAUCCACUGCGCAGAUUCCAGCACCCGAGGCGCCGGCGACCUGCGUUCUGGCUUUGGAAUAGCCGGGCACCUUCUCCUCACAACAUUCCCGCAACAUUUCUGCACUUUGCGUGAAUCUGACCCGGGCCUCCAGCUUCCCCUUCCCUGCUCGCAGCUAGAAGAGUCGGAGUGGCAACUGGAGCGUCUGGUGGGAGAAGUGGGUCGGUCCCCCGCCUGCCGGCCAGGGCUGUUGCCGCGACCCCAUCUCCAAACCAAGCAGUCAGAGACCUCCGGGCGGAGUGCGAGGCCGGUGACUUACACGCCAUCCCCGCAGUCCCGCGCCUUCCCGCCUCCGCCCCCGCCACCUCUAGGUCUCCUCUGGUCCUCGAGCGCAAAGCUAGGGCCCGAGUGGGGAAGGGAAGUAAGGCAACAACGCGUGUACGAGGGUGUGACACACAGCAGCCAGGCGUGCAGGACCCCGCCUCUCGCCGAACUCCCGCCUCGGACCAGCCCGAGCCCGGCGCUCCAGGGCUCCCUGCUCCGGGACAAAGCUGCCACGGCCUCUUCGCCAGCGCCGGGCGCGUUGUCGCCCGCUCUCCUCAGGGUCCCCGGCCGCGACUCCGUCCCAAAGGGCCUCGGCUCCGCCCGGGGGACAGAGAGAUCUCCCGGCCCCGCGCCCCCGCCGCAGCUCACCUGUUCAGCACUUUGCGGAUCCUCUGGCGCACGCCGGCCCGGGAGGAGGCAGAGAGGCUUCCGCCGCCGCCGCUGCCCUCAGCCGGCAGGUUCUCGAUGGUGGUCACCACAUGGUUCGGCGGGGCCGGCGGCGGCGGCUGCAGCUGCUGCUGCUGCGGCUCUGGGGGGAUCAUCUUGGCGGAGGCGGCGGCGCGGCGGCGAUCAGAAGGCGGCCGGACGCAUCGUGCGCCGGCUCCGGGCCCGGGAACGCGCGGAGGACCCGGCUAGGCGGCCGCGGCCCGGGGAGGCGGUGCUGCUGGCCAAGCGGCGAGGUGGGGAGGCACCCGCGGCUACGGCCGCCGCCGCCACCCAGCCGGCCACUCACUCCUCUCCAGUCCCAGACCACGCACCCCCUCGCCGCCGCUGCCGCCGCCGCCUCCCGCCCGGGCUCUUCUCGAGCCGCGUCCCCAAGUCCUGGCACGCCCCGCGAAGUGGCUGUGAAGGGUGUCGCGCGGGGGCGCCGAGCGGCCCGUCGGCUCGGGAGACCCUCACGAAGAGAAAGGAUGGGGCUCCGGGCUUCCCCUUCUCUCCCAGUGCCUAG
rnacentral:lncRNA from 1 species